CAGCGUUCCAUUGGGGGGUGGGGGUGGAGGAUGGGGAAGAAAGGCAGCCGGGUGUCAGGCAGAGUGUGUGCAGGGGGGUGGGGAGCCGGUUCCCAUCACACACCCGGGAGGCCAGACUGCCAUCCUGGCCGCCCACCCCCGGCUGACUGCGCUUCUCACGACACGUCUGAGCACCAGAGGCCGCAGAGCCCGUGGCAGGCCCGGCCCGGGGUGCUGUCCACCCACCCUGCCCCGCUUCCGGCCAGUGCAGUCACGUCUCUUCCCCACGUUGGCCCGGCCGUCAGGGCCACGGACGGACCCCCGCACAUGGCGCAGUGCCCCCGUCCCCAGGCCUCCGCCCCAUCCUGAGUGGACAAACCCGGCUUCACAGCUCACCUUCCCAGCUGCCACCAAUAGCACCCAUCCAGGUGGCCUCCAAGGGGGCAAAUGACGCAAUUUCUGUGGCGAGUCACACGGUGUCCCCUAAAGCUCCCCCUGAUGCCGUAUUGAGGCAUGGGGAGGGCAGAGGUCCAUGGUCUGAGAUAGGUUCCUUCGACACCACCCAGGAGAGUUGGGUGUAAGCCUACGGCUCCUUCUACAUCAGCCAAUCCAAUCUACAUCAGGGACCCUGAACCCUGUGAGCCCCUUUUUCCUUCCAGCUUAAGGAAGCAGCCAGCCCUCCAGCAGCUUUUGGGUCCUGGCUGGGCCACCAAGGGUAAAUGUCCGGCUGUCCACAUGCUGGCAGCAUUGCUCUAGCAAAUGUCAACAUGAGCAGCUGCUGUACGGGGGAUUCUCCUCCAUUGUGAUCAGGGCCUGGGACAAAACAUGACGAGAGAGACAGAGACAGGAGUGCCCUGUGCUCCUGGACAGGGCUGCAUGCACAGAGCAGAUAGCCUGAAGCCUGGGGAGAGGUGGACAAAGAGACAGGUAAGGAGAGAGAAACUGGAUGAGUGAUAGGGGGAUGGGGCAAGACCGAGAGAGUGAAAGGAAGAAACACAGAGAGGUGUGGUUAGAGAGAAACAGAGACAGAGAGGAAGUACAAGGAGAAAGGUGGAGACGUGGUCCAGGUAUGUGGACGGGGCGAGAUGGGCCAGGGGAGAGGGGAUGUGGGAAGUGGCUCUGAGUGUUGGGGCAGAAAGGGCUGGUAUCAUGGGCAUCAUAGUCUCAUGACUCUAAGACUCCAACGUCCCUGGGGCCAAGCUCUGCAGAGGCCAUUGCAAUUGAAAAGAUGGGCAUCCGUCAGUUCUCCUGGAAUUGCGGGGCUCAGCGUUAUGUUCUGUCAUGGAGAAGGAUGUCUUCAGGGAGAGUGUGCUGCUCUUUGGCAGGUCCGGCAGUCUGGACCUGGCAGAGUUGAACUGCUGAUAGUGAUAAAAAGGAUUUGACAAGAAGGUCCAUAUUCUCCCUCUGGAACGAGCGGUGUGCAUCCAAAUCGUGGGUUGCUAUCCUCCUGUCCACAACCAAUCUGAGGAUUCCAGAAGGACUCAUGGAUUGCGGGGUCCCACGACAUCACCUCAUCGAUGCAGUCGAUGGUUUGUUCCCGAUUCAGGCUCGUUUCCGGGAAGAAACCCUGACGGAAAUUCCGAGGAACGGGAGCCGCAUUCC